CCUACGGGUGGCUGCAGUGGGGAAUAUUUGGCGAUGGAGGCAACUCUGACCCAGCAACGCCGCGUGAAUGAUGAAGGUCUUCGGAUUGUAAAGUUCUUUUCUAAGGGAAGAAGAAAGUGACGGUACCUUAGGAAUAAGCCUCGGCUAACUACGUUCCAGCAGCCGCGGUAAUACGUAGGAGGCAAGCGUUAUCCGGAAUGACUGGGCGUAAAGGGUGCGUAGGUGGUUCAGCAAGUUAGUAGCGUAACUCCGGGGCUCAACCUCGGCACUACUACUAAAACUGUUGGACGUGAGUGCAGGAGGGGCAACUGGAAUUCCUAGUGUAGCGGUGGAAUGCGUAGAUAUUAGGAGGAACACCAGUGGCGAAGGAGAGUUGCUGGACUGUAACUGACACUGAGGCACGAAAGCGUGGGGAGCAAACAGGAUUAGAUACCCCAGUAGUC
rnacentral:rRNA from 1 species